GUAUUCACCGCGGCAUUCUGAUCCGCGAUUACUAGCGAUUCCGACUUCACGCAGUCGAGUUGCAGACUGCGAUCCGGACUACGAUCGGCUUUUUGAGAUUAGCAUCCUCUCGCGAGGUAGCAACCCUUUGUACCGACCAUUGUAGCACGUGUGUAGCCCUGGCCGUAAGGGCCAUGAUGACUUGACGUCGUCCCCGCCUUCCUCCAGUUUGUCACUGGCAGUAUCCUUAAAGUUCCCGGCAUUACCCGAUGGCAAAUAAGGAAAAGGGUUGCGCUCGUUGCGGGACUUAACCCAACAUCUCACGACACGAGCUGACGACAGCCAUGCAGCACCUGUAUCUAAGUUCCCGAAGGCACCAAUCCAUCUCUGGAAAGUUCUUAGUAUGUCAAGGCCAGGUAAGGUUCUUCGCGUUGCAUCGAAUUAAACCACAUGCUCCACCGCUUGUGCGGGCCCCCGUCAAUUCAUUUGAGUUUUAGUCUUGCGACCGUACUCCCCAGGCGGUCUACUUAUCGCGUUAGCUGCGCCACUAAAGCCUCAAAGGCCCCAACGGCUAGUAGACAUCGUUUACGGCAUGGACUACCAGGGUAUCUAAUCCUGUUUGCUCCCCAUGCUUUCGUACCUCAGCGUCAGUAUUAGGCCAGAUGGCUGCCUUCCCCAUCGGUAUUCCUCCAGAUCUCUACGCAUUUCACCGCUACACCUGGGAAUUCUACCAUCCUCUCCAUACUCUAGCUUUCCAGUAUCGAAUGCAAUUCCUAAGUUAAGCUCA
rnacentral:rRNA from 1 species